rnacentral:tRNA from 1 species
GAUAGCCUAGUUUAAGUAAGAACGUCUGUUUGUCAGGCAGAAAGUCCACUUAGUGUGGGGGUGUCU